rnacentral:rRNA from 1 species
AUUGAACGCUGGCGGCAGGCCUAACACAUGCAAGUCGAACGAGUGGCGGACGGGUGAGUAAUGUCUGGGAAACUGCCUGAUGGAGGGGGAUAACUACUGGAAACGGUAGCUAAUACCGCAUACCAUCAGAUGUGCCCAGAUGGGAUGAGCUUGUUGGUGGGGUAACGGCUCACCAAGGCGACGCUCCCUAGCUGGUCUGAGAGGAUGGACAGCCACAAUGUAACUGAGCCACGGUCAAGCCGCCGACGGGAGGCAGCAGUGGGGAAUAUUGCACAAUGGGCGCAAGCCUGAUGCAGCCAUGCCGGGUGUAUGAAGAAGGCCUUCGGGUUGUAAAGUACUUUCAGCGGGGAGGAGUUACCCGCAGAAGAAGCACCGGAUAACUCCGUGCCAGCAGCCGCGGUAAUUC